ensembl:lncRNA
UAGAUAUUCCAAGCUUAUAUUUCUGGUAACUGAGGAUUACUGAGAUGAAAGACUUGAACAGAAUCAACAGGUCUUAAAGUUCCGAAUGGAACACUGUUAUUAAGUUAUUUUGGGGUUAGAAUCAACAGCUCUCUAGUAUUCUUUGGGUCUGAAAACUGGCAGCAGCUGGUGAGACUGAAAGUCUCCUGGUAGAAUGGAAGACCUUACUGAAAUUAAAUUUUUGGACACUGGACCCAUCUAUUUUUUUGAUCAGAUAAAACCAAAAAGGAAAAUAUGGGAAAAGAGAAAAUGUGAAGACCACUUCCCCCUUUUGGAAUGCACUGAAGGAGCUAACUAUAACUCUUCUCGACCAAAAGCAGUGUUCCCAGAUCUCCCAGGAUAGCAGUCUACCUGUUGUCACCCACUUCUCACUGACAUCCAAGAUUUGUUUAGAAAAUGGUUGGAUCCUACAGCAUCCUUCCUCAAAAUUGGAAAUUCUAAAAUUGAAGACAAUUCUUGAUACUGCUGUGAAGAAACUACAAGUAGCCAUAAUGCAAAUAAAAACGGAAGAAGCUAAGCUAAGGAAAGAAGGAUUCAACAAACAGCUUAUCCUGAGCCACUAUAACGAGGAAGAGGUGAACACCAUCCCUGAAGAUUCCCAGUGUUUCUGGCUAGAGUUGCUGAGGAGGAGGACUAAUAUGCCGACAAUCAAGAAGCCUGACCAGAAUUUGAAAAAGUUCCAUUAUGCUCUGACAGAUGGUUCCUCUCUGACCUAAUAUCCUUGUGAAACGCCAAUGGUUGAAGAAGGAUGGGAUGGGUCAGGAGUGAUAAAGGGGCAGCAGGUGGAGUGUUUCUGUUUCAGCAGAAAAUCCCAGAAGCAUUAAAAAAAGAGGUCUGACCCCUGUAUUUGUUCAGUCCCUUUCUCCCAAGGGUCUACACUCCCUCACUCUGGGGGUGGGAGAAGUCAAUCCAAGAAAGAGGUCAGGGC